rnacentral:rRNA from 1 species
UCGUAACAAGGUUUCCGUAGGUGAACCUGCGGAAGGAUCAUUACCUAGAGUUUGUGGGCUUUGCCCGCUACCUCUUACCCAUGUCUUUUGAGUACUUACGUUUCCUCGGCGGGUUCGCCCGCCGACUGGACAAAAUUAAACCCUUUGUAAUUGAAAUCAGCGUCUGAAAAACAUAAUAGUUACAACUUUCAACAACGGAUCUCUUGGUUCUGGCAUCGAUGAAGAACGCAGCGAAAUGCGAUAAGUAGUGUGAAUUGCAGAAUUCAGUGAAUCAUCGAAUCUUUGAACGCACAUUGCGCCCCUUGGUAUUCCAUGGGGCAUGCCUGUUCGAGCGUCAUUUGUACCUUCAAGCUAUGCUUGGUGUUGGGUGUUUGUCUCGCCUUUGCGUGUAGACUCGCCUCAAAACAAUUGGCAGCCGGCGUAUUGAUUUCGGAGCGCAGUACAUCUCGCGCUUUGCACUCAUAACGACGACGUCCAAAAGUACUUUUUACACUCUUGACCUCGGAUCAGGUAGGGAUACCCGCUGAACUUAAGCAUAU